AGGGAAGGCUUGAGGUAGGCCUAACACAUGCAAGUCGAACGGCAGCACAGUAAGAGCUUGCUCUUACGGGUGGCGAGUGGCGGACGGGUGAGGAAUACAUCGGAAUCUACUUUUUCGUGGGGGAUAACGUAGGGAAACUUACGCUAAUACCGCAUACGACCUACGGGUGGAAGCAGGGGAUCUUCGGACCUUGCGCGAUUGAACGAGCCGAUGUCGGAUUAGCUAGUUGGCGGGGUAAAGGCCCACCAAGGCGACGAUCCGUAGCUGGUCUGAGAGGAUGAUCAGCCACACUGGAACUGAGACACGGUCCAGACUCCUACGGGAGGCAGCAGUGGGGAAUAUUGGACAAUGGGCGCAAGCCUGAUCCAGCCAUACCGCGUGGGUGAAGAAGGCCUUCGGGUUGUAAAGCCCUUUUGUUGGGAAAGAAAAGCAGCAGGUUAAUACCCCGCUGUUCUGACGGUACCCAAAGAAUAAGCACCGGCUAACUUCGUG
rnacentral:rRNA from 1 species